rnacentral:lncRNA from 1 species
UGACUGAGAAAGCCUGAGAAAGUUUGUUUUUCUCACUUCUGAAACACUGCAUCAUGAGUAUACCUUCACUGAGAGUUAGUCCCUGUGCUUCUGGUGACCAGCAGCAGUUCUUCCCCACAGUGUCCAGCCCUCAGGAUGUUAACACUGCAGCGUCUGGUUUCUUUGGUCAGUCUUCACACAGCUUGGCAGUUCCAACCUUACUGUAUGUUAAACAAAAUUCCAUGGAAGGACCCAUCGAACUGAAGGACUCUUCUGAAGAAGUUGAUGACAUUCUCAAACCCACAGUAGACCUGUGUGGGUAUAUCUCUGUGUUCCAUUAAGAGCAGGACAGGUUGUGUUGUUUUAUCAGGCUGCAUGUCAUCAGCAGCCGGAGGCUCUCUCCCUACAUCACUUCCACUGUGACCAAAGGAUUUGGCUUGAGGUUUAAUCAAAAGAAAAGAAUAUUUGUUAAUUUUUUCCAUUUCUUAAAAAAAUAUAUAUUUGCGCUGU